rnacentral:misc_RNA from 1 species
GUUUAACCAAGGAUUUAAAUGCUUGCCAUGCCACUUUACUCUAUAUUUCUUCCCUCUCUCCCACUACUCUCCUCCUUCUCCUGCUCCUGCUACUGCCCAUCAUCACCCGCACCUACAUCCGCUUCUUAUUCUUCGCACUCCAUCAUUAAUGCCUCCUAGGGUUUCAAAUAUCUAAAUUCUAUCUCGCUGCUUUUCCGGCAAUCCCUCCGCCCUUACCUCUAUCUCUAGCUUCAACUUUUAACUUUGUCUGUUUGCGGUUUUUAAGUUGAAAAAUUGUAGGGAUUAUCUUCUUUCUCAUUAAUGUGAGUUUCUGUUGGAG